rnacentral:rRNA from 1 species
CAGUCGCCGCGGUAAUACGAAGGGGGCUAGCGUUGUUCGGAAUCACUGGGCGUAAAGCGCACGUAGGCGGACACUUAAGUCAGAGGUGAAAUCCCAAGGCUCAACCUUGGAACUGCCUUUGAUACUGGGUGUCUUGAGGUCGAGAGAGGUGAGUGGAACUGCGAGUGUAGAGGUGAAAUUCGUAGAUAUUCGCAAGAACACCAGUGGCGAAGGCGGCUCACUGGCUCGAUUCUGACGCUGAGGUGCGAAAGCGUGGGGAGCAAACAGGAUUAGAUACCCCUGUAGUCCCUGUCUCUUAUAC